GUCCGUAGCUUUUCAAUUAGCCAUCCUGUCUGUACCUCUGAAAAUGAUUUUUUAAAAAUUUUGGGGUGAGAACAAAGCCACACGUUCUCAGUAGGGAACGUGAAUGCCGCAAUAAACAGAGUAAAUACAAAUAGCUAGUUCAUAUCACAAAAACAAUUUCACUUAAAACAGUUUUAAAUUCCUUUCUUUAAAUCACGUUACUUACACAAAAAUCCAGUCACAUUAACAGUUCCUUAUCCAUAAACAACAUUCCUAAAUACAUUAUUAAGACUACAACACAAGUAAAAUAUUCAUCAAGCACACAAGCAAAUCACCAAAACAACAGCUCAAUCACAAAUGAACAAUAAAGCAAACGCAAUCAAAUGUAAAUGCGCAAACAAGAUGAUGCAUGCCUGUUCCUAGC
rnacentral:lncRNA from 1 species